rnacentral:rRNA from 1 species
UACGGCGGUCACAGCGUGGGGGAAACGCCCGGUCCCAUCCCGAACCCGGAAGCUAAGACCCACAGCGCCGAUGGUACUGCACCCGGGAGGGUGUGGGAGAGUAGGACGCCGCCGGAC